rnacentral:rRNA from 1 species
UACAGAGUGUGCGAGCGUUAAUCGGAAUUACUGGGCGUAAAGCGUGCGUAGGCGGUCGUGUAAGUCGGGUGUGAAAGCCCCGGGCUCAACCUGGGAAUUGCAUUCGAGACUGCACGGCUGGAGUGCGGAAGAGGGAAGCGGAAUUUCCGGUGUAGCGGGAAAUGCGUAGAUAUCGGAAGGAACAUCAGUGGCGAAAGCGGAUUCCUGGUCCAGCACUGACGCUCAGGCACGAAAUCGUGGGGAGCAAACAGG